ensembl:lncRNA
AACGCCGCCGGCCCCCACCCCAUGCCUCCACCUAUGCCGGCAGCGCCAUGGGUAGCGUCAGCAGCCUCGUCAACGGGAACAGCGUCCAGGAGAAACACUGCCAGGCGUCGGACCCCCAGCUAAAGAAGGGGGCGAGCCACCAGCACCACCCCCAGCACCACCUCCACCCCUCCGGCCCGGAGGGCGGGGGGCCGCAGCCUGCUGUCUGAGGGCCUGCUGAACUGCGGCCUCGGUCAGGGGGUCCUCGUCGUGUGCGUCCACGCGCCCCCCCGCUAAGGGCCUCUCUCAUUCCAGGUCGGGACGGAGCGAAGACUUCUUCUACAUCAAGGUAAGCCAUAAACCCAGGGCUGUGUACCAGCGAGUAGGACCAAUGGACAACCACAUCUCCACAGACGAUGGCAGUGGGGAAUCCAAAGGGCGACAGCCACUGAAACUGCUGCCAGUGUUGGGCAAGAAGGCGGAGAGGGUAAACACCUUGUCUAGAGAGGCACCAGACACCCCCACUCUAUAAACAAACACGCAACAACCUUUAAUGUAUGAGCAAUGACACAGAGCAUCUUAUUAUAUAACCAUGGUCUUUUUAAAUAUAUUGUCAGUGUUGUAGAGUGUUUAAGUCCACAGUGUACCUGUAGGCGCACGCUGCGUACGAUGCCUCACCC